AUUGAACGCUGGCGGCAUGCUUUACACAUGCAAGUCGAACGGCAGCACGGGUGCUUGCACCUGGUGGCGAGUGGCGAACGGGUGAGUAAUGCAUCGGAACGUAUCCAAUAAUGGGGGAUAACGCACCGAAAGGUGUGCUAAUACCGCAUACGCCCUGAGGGGGAAAGUGGGGGACCGUAAGGCCUCACGUUAAUGGAGCGGCCGAUGCCUGAUUAGCUAGUUGGUGAGGUAAAGGCUCACCAAGGCGACGAUCAGUAGCUGGUCUGAGCGGACGACCAGCCACACUGGGACUGAGACACGGCCCAGACUCCUACGGGAGGCAGCAGUGGGGAAUUUUGGACAAUGGGCGCAAGCCUGAUCCAGCCAUGCCGCGUGAGUGAAGAAGGCCUUCGGGUUGUAAAGCUCUUUCGCAAGGAAAGAAAACUUAUCCCCUAAUACGGGAUGAGGAUGACGGUACCUUGAUAAGAAGCACCGGCUAACUACGUGCCAGCAGCCGCAGUAACAC
rnacentral:rRNA from 1 species